GAGACUCUGUGCGCGUGCAUAUCAAUAAGCGGAGGAAAAGAAACUAACUAGGAUUCCCUCAGUAACGGCGAGUGAAGCGGGAAGAGCUCAAAUUUGAAAUCUUCAAGGUUUUACCUUGACGAAUUGUAGUUUAAAGAAGUGUUUUCUGUUGAAGUUUUGGUAAAAGUUCUUUGGAAUAGGACAUCAUAGAGGGUGAGAAUCCCGUAUUUGACCAUUAUUUUCAGCUGUGUGAUACACUUUCAAAGAGUCGGAUUGUUUGGGAAUGCAGUCCAAAAUGGGUGGUAAAUUUCAUCUAAAGCUAAAUAUUGGCGAGAGACCGAUAGCGAACAAGUACCGUGAGGGAAAGAUGAAAAGAACUUUGAAAAGAGAGUUAAACAGUACGUGAAAUUGUCAAAAGGGAAGCGUUUGACACCAGUGUUGUUUUCUCGAAAAUCAAUUAAAAAAGUCUGGAUUUUGUGUUGUAUUGACCUUAAAAGCUUUCUUCUACUCUUUUCUUGUCUUUUUUAAUGCACUUUUCGUUUAACAAGUCAACAUCAGUUUCUUUUGUUGUAAAAGGGUCAUUGGAAGGUGGCUUUCUUUUCGGAGAAAGUGUUUAUAGCCUUUGAUCUCUGCAACCGGAGAGACUGAGGUCUGCAGCGUAGACUCUUCGGGGUUAGAUACAUUUGUGCUAAGCUAUAGCUUUUUAUAGACAACUUGUUGACUAUAUUUAGUCUUGUAGCUUACUCGCUUAUGCUAUUUUACCUACGCUUAGGAUGUUGAUCUGUAGUGCGUGCGC
rnacentral:rRNA from 1 species